rnacentral:rRNA from 1 species
CUGGGAUUAGAUACCCCACUAUGCCUAGCCAUAAACUUUGACUACUUACGCAAAAAUCCGCCAGGGAACUACGAGCCUAAGCUUAAAACCCAAAGGACUUGGCGGUGCUCCAAACCCACCUAGAGGAGCCUGUUCUGUAAUCGAUACCCCUCGCUAAACCUCACCACUUCUUGCCAAACCCGCCUAUAUACCACCGUCGCCAGCCCACCUCGUGAGAGAUUCUUAGUAGGCUUAAUGAUUUUUCAUCAACACGUCAGGUCAAGGUGUAGCAUAUGAAGUGGGAAGAAAUGGGCUACAUUUUCUAUACCUUAGAAUAAACGAAAGAUCUCUAUGAAACCAGAUCGGAAGGCGAAUUUAGCAGUAAAGAGAAACAAGAGAGUUCUCUUUAAAACGGCCCUGGAGCGCGCACACACCGCCCGUCACCCUC